rnacentral:lncRNA from 1 species
CAACAUCAGUUAAAUUUAAAAAAAAAUUCUAUUGAAGACUGUUCUAAUUUUGUGGGAAAAUAUGUUCUAUGAUGACUUCACCUCUCUGAGAACACCUUUUUAUGAUUUUAGAUAAAUGAAAUACUGCCACAUUUAACAAUAGGAUACAAGUUCAUGGAUCUAAGGGACUGGCAGCUCUGGUCUCUGUCAUUUUUGCCCGUCUCUGAGAAGAUGCCCUGAAUACAGCUCAGAGGACAAAGAGCCUGCAUGGACAGGAAUCUUAUGAUUGCAAGCAAUAGAAAUCAACCCAAAGUAGCUUAACCGGGCCAAAAGAUGGAGAAAGGAUUGUAUCACAAGGACACCAAAGCAUCUCCUGAAACAGAAUUUCUCUGAGGGAUGGAACUAUUUUUGUUGAGGGGAAAAAAUACCUUGGCAAGCUCUUUGAAAGAAAAGUCUGACCAUCUGAAUCCCAAGAACAAAGGAGUGCUUACAGGUGAUGUGCUCCAGAAAACGAAAGGCACCGGGUCUGCUCCUAAGAGGACUGGGGAGGAAAACAGAAGGGGAGACUGGGAGGCAAAGAGACCAGGAACACUCUGCAUGAAAGCUGCAUGCAAUAAAGAACCCGUAAAAAUCUCCCUGACGGUAGGCACCCCAGCUCUCCCUUCCCCCGAGAAGCCUUUAAGAAGAAAAAUAACCAAUAUGUGAUUUGUGGUUAUUUCUGCCUACUUUGGGCUACAUGUCUGCUCUAUGGACAUUACAUGAGUGAAAUAAGAGUUUGUGUGUGUGUGUGUGUGUGU